UACGAAGGGUUCAAGCGUUAAUCGGAAUUACUGGGCGUAAAGGGCGCGUAGGCGGCUGUUUAAGUCUGUCGUGAAAUCCCCGGGCUCAACCUGGGAAUGGCGAUGGAUACUGGACAGCUAGAGUGUGUCAGAGGAUGGUGGAAUUCCCGGUGUAGCGGUGAAAUGCGUAGAGAUCGGGAGGAACAUCAGUGGCGAAGGCGGCCAUCUGGGACAACACUGACGCUGAAGCACGAAAGCGUGGGGAGCAAACAGG
rnacentral:rRNA from 1 species